GGUCAAGUUAUUAAGAGCAUAGGGCGAAUGCCUUGGCACCAAGAGCCGAUGAAGGACGGGAUAAGCACCGAUAUGCUUCGGGGAGUCGCAAAUAGACAUCGAUCCGGAGAUUUCCGAAUGGGGAAACCUACUUGAGCAACCCUCAAGUACUUGUAAGUGAAUACAUAGCUUACAAGAGGAAGACCAGGGGAACUGAAACAUCUAAGUACCCUGAGGAAGAGAAAGAAAAAUUCGAUUUCCUAAGUAGCGGCGAGCGAACGGGAAAGAGCCCAAACCAGAUUUAUCUGGGGUUACGGACAGAACAAAGGAUAUGUAGUUAGUAGAGGAAGAAGACUGGAAAGUCUCACCAAAGAAGGUGAUAGUCCUGUACUCGAAACUAAAUACAUACAGGUUCUUGAUCCAGAGUACCACGAGACACGUGAAAUCUUGUGGGAAGUAGGGAGGCCCACCUCCCAAGGCUAAAUACUACUUGGUGACCGAUAGAGAAUAGUACCGUGAGGGAAAGGUGAAAAGAACCCCGGAAGGGGAGUGAAAUAGAACCUGAAACCCUAUGCUUACAAGCAGCGGAAGCACAUUAGUAGUGUAACCGCGUACUUUUUGUAGAACGGGCCAGCGAGUUAUGGUAUGCAGCGAGGUUAAGUAAUUAAGUUACGAAGCCGUAGGGAAACCAAGUCUGAAUAGGGCGCCAUAGUUGUAUGCCAUAGACCCGAAACCGGGUGACCUAUCCAUGGGCAGAGUGAAGUUGAAGUAAAAUUCAAUGGAGGCUCGAACCCGUCAACGUUUAAAAGUUGUGGGAUGACCUGUGGAUAGGGGUGAAAAGCCAAUCGAACUCGGAGAUAGCUGGUUCUCCUCGAAAUAGCUUUAGGGCUAGCCUCGAGUGAAAGUGAGAUGGAGGUAGAGCACUGAAUGGUCUAGGGGCGCUCAUGCGUUACCAAAACCUAUCAAACUCCGAAUGCCAUACUCAUGAUACUCGGGAGUCAGACUAUGUGGGAUAAGCUUCAUAGUCGAAAGGGAAAGAGCCCAGACCACCAGCUAAGGUCCCUAAAUCCAAAUUAAGUGUAAAAGGAUGUGGGGUUUCACAGACAACCAGGAUGUUGGCUUAGAAGCAGCCAUACAUUUAAAGAGUGCGUAAUAGCUCACUGGUCGAGAGACCCUGCGCCGAAGAUUUCCGGGGCUAAAUUUGGUACCGAAGCUGUGGAUUGUUGAUUAUUCAACAGUGGUAGAGGAGCAUUGUGUGCUGGGAAGAAGGUGUACCGAAAGGAGCGCUGGACUGCACACAAGAGAGAAUGCUGGCAUAAGUAGCGAAAGGUGAGUGAGAAUCUCACCCAUCGAAAGCCUAAGGUUUCCUGAGGAAGGCUCGUCCACUCAGGGUAAGUCGGGACCUAAGCCCAGGCCGCAAGGCGUAGGCGAUGGACAACAGGUGAUAAUUCCUGUACUAGUUAAAUGCGUUUGAGAGAUGUGGGGACGCAGGAGGAUAAGUUGAGCGUGCGAUUGGAAAAGCACGUCUAAGUAAGUAGACAGAGGAGAUAGGCAAAUCCGUUUCCUCACUUAAUGUCGAGAUACGAUGGGGAUCGAAAAAUAAGUAGAGAAGCAACUGACUCCACACUGCCAAGAAAAGCCACUAUCGAGUAAAUAACUACCCGUACCGCAAACCGACACAGGUAGGCGAGGAGAGAAUCCUAAGAUGAGCGGAAGAACUAUUGUUAAGGAACUCGGCAAAAUGACCCCGUAACUUCGGGAGAAGGGGAGCCAGAGAAGGAUAGAUUGAACAAUCGAAAGAACAUCUGGCCGCAGUGAAUAGGCCCAAGCGACUGUUUACCAAAAACACAAGUCUCUGCUAAGUCGAAAGACGAAGUAUAGGGGCUGACACCUGCCCGGUG
rnacentral:rRNA from 1 species